AGGUUGUCUGCCGAACGAGUACCAAUGUGGCGUGACCUGCAUUGACCUCGGCCGCCGCUGUGACACCAGACCUGACUGCCCCGGCGGUGAGGACGAGCAGGACUGUGAGACGCACGAGUGCCCGGUGACGCAUUUCAAGUGUGAGAACCACCUCUGCGUCCCCAGCGAGUUGGUCUGCGACUUCGACGACCACUGCGGCGACGGGUCCGACGAGCACCAGUGUCAUCACCGCAAGUGCUGGAAGGCGGAGUUUGAGUGCGACAACGGGCAGUGCAUCAG